AAGAUACUAGUAAAAAUGAAUAUUACUCUGCCUUGUCGAGGCAAGAUUGUAGGUUAAAAUCCUGCGUAUCUUA
rnacentral:tRNA from 2 species